rnacentral:rRNA from 1 species
AUUGAACGCUGGCGGCAUGCCUUACACAUGCAAGUCGAACGGUAACGGGCCUUCGGGUGCCGACGAGUGGCGAACGGGUGAGUAAUGCAUCGGAACGUACCUUUCAGUGGGGGAUAACGUAGCGAAAGUUACGCUAAUACCGCAUAUUCUGUGAGCAGGAAAGCAGGGGAUCGCAAGACCUUGCGCUGAUUGAGCGGCCGAUGUCAGAUUAGCUAGUUGGUGAGGUAAAGGCUCACCAAGGCGACGAUCUGUAGCGGGUCUGAGAGGAUGAUCCGCCACACUGGAACUGAGACACGGUCCAGACUCCUACGGGAGGCAGCAGUGGGGAAUUUUGGACAAUGGGGGCGAACCCUGAUCCAGCCAUGCCGCGUGAGUGAAGAAGGCCU